rnacentral:rRNA from 1 species
UGUAGGUGAACCUGCGGAGGGAUCAUUACACAAAUAUGAAGGCGGGCUGGAACCUCUCGGGGUUACAGCCUUGCUGAAUUAUUCACCCUUGUCUUUUGCGUACUUCUUGUUUCCUUGGUGGGUUCGCCCACCACUAGGACAAACAUAAACCUUUUGUAAUUGCAAUCAGCGUCAGUAACAAAUUAAUAAUUACAACUUUCAACAACGGAUCUCUUGGUUCUGGCAUCGAUGAAGAACGCAGCGAAAUGCGAUAAGUAGUGUGAAUUGCAGAAUUCAGUGAAUCAUCGAAUCUUUGAACGCACAUUGCGCCCUUUGGUAUUCCAAAGGGCAUGCCUGUUCGAGCGUCAUUUGUACCCUCAAGCUUUGCUUGGUGUUGGGCGUCUUGUCUCUAGCUUUGCUGGAGACUCGCCUUAAAGUAAUUGGCAGCCGGCCUACUGGUUUCGGAGCGCAGCACAAGUCGCACUCUCUAUCAGCAAAGGUCUAGCAUCCAUUAAGCCUUUUUUUCAACUUUUGACCUCGGAUCAGGUAGGGAUACCCGCUGAACUUAAGCAUAUCAAUAAGCGGAGGAA